UCUGAUUAGGCAAUGGAACUCACAUAAUUUUCCUGAACAUGCAUGACUGGCUCCCCCUAGCGGUUGAAUACAACACAGGAAUCACAAUUUAACUAAUGCUGGGUCUGAUUAGCUAUGGAUAGCUCGUGCAGUUGCAUGCAUGUUACGAGUCCUUCUGGAGUUGUUGGUGAUCGCCGCUGGCCUUCGUGAUGUGUGUUUAUCGCCGCUAUCGGACGCUGUUGUUUGGUCGCCGUCGGUGCCUGCCGCGUUGUGUGAUGACCACCGGUUCAUACUGUGUUGUGUUGCCUCUGUUGGUCGCCGCGUCGUGCUAUGUUGCCGAAACCGUCCUGGUCUCCACGUUUGUGAUCGCACGCCGGUGCGUUUUGUCACCGCCAGCGCACAACCUGAUCUGUUCUGUUCCAUGACUGC
rnacentral:lncRNA from 1 species